rnacentral:rRNA from 1 species
AUUGAACGCUGGCGGCAGGCCUAACACAUGCAAGUCGAACGGUAGCACAGAGGAGCUUGCUCCUUGGGUGACGAGUGGCGGACGGGUGAGUAAUGUCUGGGAAACUGCCCGAUGGAGGGGGAUAACUACUGGAAACGGUAGCUAAUACCGCAUAACGUCGCAAGACCAAAGAGGGGGAUCUUCGGGCCUCUUGCCAUCGGAUGUG